GACGAACGCUGGCGGCGUGCCUAAUACAUGCAAGUAGGACGCAGUUGCGAACGGGUGAGUAACGCGUAGGUAACUACCAAUUAGAGGGGGAUAACCAUUGGAAACGAUAGCUAAUACCGCAUACUAGUAGAUGGACUUGCGUUGUAUUAGCUAGUAGGUAGGGUCAUGGCCUACCUAGGCAACGAUACAUAGCCGACCUGAGAGGGUGGUCAGCCACACUAGGACGUAGACGCGGCCCAGACUCCUACGGGAGGCGGCAGUGGGGAAUAGUGGACAAUGGACGGAAGCCUGGUCCAGCCAUGCCGCGUGUGUGAAGAAGGUCUUCGGAUUGUAAAGCACUUUAAGUUGGGAGGCGUUACCAACAGAAUAAGCACCGGCUAACUUCGUGCCAGCAGCCGCGGUAAUUC
rnacentral:rRNA from 1 species